rnacentral:tRNA from 1 species
GGCAAGAUAGCUCAGUUGGUAGAGCAUCCGGCUCAUAUCCGGCAGGUCACAGGUCCGAGUCCUGUUCUUGCUA